AACACACACAGACUCUCCAUAUAUUAGAGCGCUUGGAUUUAUGUAUAUAAGAUAUACACAGCCCCCUACAGAUCUGUGGGACUGGUUUGAAUCCUUCCUUGAUGAUGAAGAGGACCUAGAUGUGAAGGCUGGUGGAGGCUGUGUAAUGACCAUUGGAGAAAUGCUACGAUCUUUUCUCACAAAACUGGAGUGGUUUUCUACCUUGUUUCCAAGAAUUCCAGUUCCAGUUCAAAAGAAUAUUGAUCAACAGAUUAAAACCCGACCUAGAAAAAUCAAGAAAGAUGGGAAGGAAGGUGCUGAGGAAAUAGACAGACAUGUUGAACGCAGACGUUCAAGGUCUCCAAGGAGAUCUCUGAGUCCACGGAGGUCCCCAAGAAGGUCAAGAAGUAGAAGUCAUCAUCGGGAGGGCCAUGGGUCUUCUAGUUUUGACAGAGAAUUAGAAAGAGAGAAAGAACGCCAGCGACUAGAGCGUGAAGCCAAAGAAAGGGAGAAAGAACGGCGAAGAUCCCGAAGUAUUGACCGGGGGUUAGAACGCAGGCGCAGCAGAAGUAGGGAAAGGCAUAGAAGUCGCAGUCGAAGUCGUGAUAGGAAAGGGGAUAGAAGGGACAGGGAUCGAGAAAGAGAGAAAGAAAAUGAGAGAGGUAGAAGACGAGAUCGUGACUAUGAUAAGGAAAGAGGAAAUGAACGAGAAAAAGAGAGAGAGCGAUCAAGAGAAAGGUCCAAGGAACAGAGAAGUAGGGGAGAGGUAGAAGAGAAGAAACAUAAAGAAGACAAAGAUGAUAGGCGGCACAGAGAUGACAAAAGAGAUUCC
rnacentral:lncRNA from 1 species